rnacentral:rRNA from 1 species
AUGCAAUCUACCUUUUACAGAGGGAUAGACCAGAGAAAUUUGGAUUAAUACCUCAUAGUAUUACGAAAUGGCAUCAUUUUGUAAUUAAAGUCACAACGGUAAAAGAUGAGCAUGCGUCCCAUUAGCUAGUUGGUAAGGUAACGGCUUACCAAGGCUACGAUGGGUAGGGGUCCUGAGAGGGAGAUCCCCCACACUGGUACUGAGACACGGACCAGACUCCUACGGGAGGCAGCAGUGAGGAAUAUUGGACAAUGGGCGCAAGCCUGAUCCAGCCAUGCCGCGUGCAGGAUGACGGUCCUAUGGAUUGUAAACUGCUUUUAUACGAGAAGAAACACUCCGACGUGUCGGAGCUUGACGGUAUCGUAAGAAUAAGGAUCGGCUAACUCCGUGCCAGCAGCCGCGGUAAUACGGAGGAUCCAAGCGUUAUCCGGAAUCAUUGGGUUUAAAGGGUCCGUAGGCGGUUUAAUAAGUCAGUGGUGAAAGCCCAUCGCUCAACGGUGGAACGGCCAUUGAUACUGUUAAACUUGAAUUAUUAGGAAGUAACUAGAAUAUGUAGUGUAGCGGUGAAAUGCUUAGAGAUUACAUGGAAUACCAAUUGCGAAGGCAGGUUACUACUAAUGGAUUGACGCUGAUGGACGAAAGCGUGGGUAGCGAACAGGAUUAGAUACCCUGGUAGUCCACGCCGUAAACGAUGGAUACUAGCUGUUGGAAGCAAUUUCAGUGGCUAAGCGAAAGUGAUAAGUAUCCCACCUGGGGAGUACGUUCGCAAGAAUGAAACUCAAAGGAAUUGACGGGGGCCCGCACAAGCGGUGGAGCAUGUGGUUUAAUUCGAUGAUACGCGAGGAACCUUACCAAGGCUUAAAUGUAGAUUGACCGUUUUGGAAACAGAACUUUCGCAAGACAAUUUACAAGGUGCUGCAUGGUUGUCGUCAGCUCGUGCCGUGAGGUGUCAGGUUAAGUCCUAUAACGAGCGCAACCCCUGUUGUUAGUUGCCAGCGAGUCAAGUCGGGAACUCUAACAAGACUGCCAGUGCAAACUGUGAGGAAGGUGGGGAUGACGUCAAAUCAUCACGGCCCUUACGCCUUGGGCUACACACGUGCUACAAUGGCCGGUACAGAGAGCAGCCACUGGGCGACCAGGAGCGAAUCUAUAAAACCGGUCACAGUUCGGAUCGGAGUCUGCAACUCGACUCCGUGAAGCUGGAAUCGCUAGUAAUCGGAUAUCAGCCAUGAUCCGGUGAAUACGUUCCCGGGCCUUGUACACACCGCCCGUCAAGCCAUGGAAGCUGGGGGUGCCUGAAGUCGGUGACCGCAAGGAG